CCAACUCCAGCCUCGGCCAGGGCUCUGCUCGCCCCCUCGGUUCCCGUGCAGCCUUCCUCCCGCCACCGGAGCCAGCCCCGCGGUGGCAAGCUGAGGAGGAGCCAAGAAAGGAGCACUAAGGAGAAGAAAGACCUGGCUGGGUCUGGUUGGUGUCUGCAGUGCCAGAAAGGGAGAGGGAGGCGGCGGCGGCGAAGGCGGCGGCGAGCGGCGACCACGGCCGCGCGGGACGUGAGGCCCGAGAGCAGCCGACGGCGGCGGCCGCCCCAGAGCCUCGCGCCGGGGCCGUUAGUCAGCAGAACGCGAGCCCGUGUGGAGGAGCAGGGCCGGCGCGAGGCGAGGCUCGAGAGCGCGAGCCGCCCCCCCCGGGCGCCGCCGUCCUUCGUCGUCCCGGCGCCGGGGGCCGCAGCCCUCGUCCCCCCCUCCUCGGCCGCGCCCGCCCGCAGGCCGGCACAGUCCGGCGGCGGCGGCGGCGGCGGCGGCGGCGGCGGCGGCGUGGGUCGCACCUUGUGGAGGGCAGCGCGUCGGCAGAGGCCGUCUCUCCCGGCCCUUUCUUCCCGACGCCUUGGCUGCGGCCCCUCGGGUGCAGGUGCGUGGGGCGGCGGCGGGCCGGGCUCUGCGGCCGGGCGCGGGGAGGGGGCGCUAGGCCGGGAGCCGCAGCGCGGGAGGGCCGAGCCCGGGCCGGGAGGGGGGAGGGGGAGGGGGAGGGGAACGGGAGGCGUCUUUGUUGUUGGCGACCGGGAUCGCUCUCGGCGGCGGCGGAAGGCGAGGAAGCCGCGGAAGCCGCCUCGGGUCGCGCUUCUCCCGUGGCUCGGGGAAGGCGUGGGGAGAGGUCGGAGGGUCGCUGCGGUCCCAGAGGCUGUGGGAGUCCGGGGGCGGCAGGGGGGACGGACGGACGGACGGACUGGGAAAGGUCUCGGGUCCGCCUUGCGGGGCAGGGUCUCGUUUCACUUGUUUUGCUCUCGCCCCGUGGACAGGAAGAGGGGGUCAGGUUCGCCUCCUCCUGCCGGGCUCGCUGUGCGGCUGGCGAUGCCCGAAGGGUUUCUCCGGAGUGUCCUCGUGUGUGCCAGCCCCGCUCCGACCUGGGAUCGGCCCGGUUCCCGGCGGGCCGUCGCAGGGCUCCUUUUCUCGGGGUGGCUCUGCCCGAAUCUUAACCGGUUUCAAACUCUGUCCUCGAACCCUAGGCUGGGCUCCUCCGUAGUUGCUUUUGAGUUGGAAAAGGGGAGACUUUGUUUGGAAAUUUCUUUUUAA
rnacentral:lncRNA from 1 species